AUACCUAGCUCCAAGAUCUUGGUUGCUAACACCAUUCUCCAAUAAAACGAACCAGGGAUUGCUGGAGAAAUAGCUGAUUCUAAAACUAGGGCAGAAAGUAUACAAGAUGAGCCUGGAGCAUCUUGUAGAGUCAGAGAGCAAUGCAGAACUUUAUACAUACAGUGAUGUGAGAUGGGCAUGCAGAGGGAAGAUGUUCCCAGUGGCUGAAGCUGAAACAGUGUGAGCAACAAAAUAAAGCAGUGUUGGAUCACAACCCAAAGAAUAAAAUAAAUAUCCUCGAGCCCACACCGAUAUAAAUAAAUGAUUGAAUCAAUAAAUGAGUCCAGGCACUGUGGCUCAUGCCUGUAAUCCUGCACUUUGGGAGGCCAAGGCGGGCGGAUCACUUGAGGUCAGGAGUUCGAGACCAGCCUGGCAAACAUGGUGAAACCCCGUCUCUACUAAAAAUACAAAAAUUAGCCAGGCAUGGUGGCACAUGCCUAUAAUCCCAGCUACUCAGGAGGUGAGGCAGGAGAAUCACUUGAACCCGGGAGGCAGAAAUUGCAAUGAGCCAAGAUCGCAGGACUGCACUCCAGCCUAGGCGACAGAGUAAGACUCCAUCUCAAAAAAAAAAAAAAAAAAAAAAAGAGGGAUGGACAAGACAAAUCUCUUGUAAAAAAAAUUACAAGUAAUUUUUAUAGAAGCUCUGCCCUGAGGGAGGGGGAGCGUGACUUCUCACUCCUUUAGUGUGGGCUGCACAAGUGACUUCCUUCCAUAUGGGAUCGUUAUAACAAAAGACUGUAACAAAGGCUAUGGGAGUUAUAAGACAGGAAUUGUGGACAAAAACCAGUGUAUAUCAUAACAUCACACCUUGUAAUGUUGGCAGUACAGUCACUGACCUUUGAUAAAUGUUGAUGACAUGUUGAGUAAAGGAAUGAGAGAAAGAGGAUUGUUUAUCUCUGUUUUUAUCCUUCUCAGAGAAACUUUGGGUAACUGAAGUGUGUUAUCAGCCAUGCUGAUGCCUUUGGUAAACUAUUGUGUGAAUACGGUUGUUUUGAAUUGGUCAGUAGAAACUGGGCUGCCAGGCGCAGCCGGUAAGCAUUUCCAUGUGAGCCUUAGGGGAGAAGUGCAUUUGGUAGGAGCAUCAAAAUAGCUUCUGAUAUUUCAUUAAAAGUUUGGGUUCGUCUGGUUCCUUCAUUAGUAUAUGUCACUUCCUUUGACCUUCAGUGUCUAUUGAACCAUGUGAUUUUAGAAAGCAAGGGAUUGCUUGACAUCUCCAGGCUGUGAAGACUAAAGUUCACAGGAAAAGACUACAAGGAAAUUUAAACAGUUUUAUUAUUUUCCCCCUCAUUUCUUAAUUUUCCUGCCACUACUCAGUACUGUGUGGGUCCAGGAUCACAAUUAGGGAAGACAGAGUAGCUCAGAAAUCAGUAGUGAGGAGGAGGACAGCACUUUGUGUGGUAUCUUGCUCUAGGAGCAUUUUCAAGCCAUCAGAAAUGGGACUCUUGAAGACUAUUUCUGACUUUCUCAGCACAAAUUAAGAUAAUAGGAGAUGGAGGCUCCAUUUGAAAAACAUUGUGGUUGUAUAAUGGUUAGCAUAAAACAUACUUUUUUCAAGUUAACUCAGGUACUAGAGUAUGGGGGGCGGGGGGAAAUGUACUGCAGCAUUAAUGAAAACUAGAGCUGGGAGAAUGUGUUUUUCCUUGAGUAAAUUGCAAAUGCCAGUGCACCGCAUUUGACCAGGAGGGAAGAAUGAGAGGCCCUGGUAGCAAAGCCAGUGGAAGAAGUUUUACUAGGAGCAGUUGUAUCAUUCGUGUACUUUUUUUGUGUCAUACAAGUGAGAGUGAAAUGGUCCAUGUCUGUGUUUUGAGGAAUUUUUUGCCUUUCUUUUCAGAAACUAAUUCUGAAGCAAGCCCUUAUUGUUGUGCUGCAGUGGUGUUUCAAUCACAAUUUUAGUGUUCGACUGUAUGCUUUAGUUGCUCUUAAGAAACUCUGGACUGUGUGUAAAGUGUUAAGUGUUGAAGAAUUUGAUGCCCUGACUCCUGUGAUUGAAUCCAGCCUCCAUCAAGUGGAAAGCAUGCACGGAGCAGGGAAUGCCAAGAAGAAUUGGCAACGCAUUCAAGAGCAUUUCUUUUUUGCAGCAUUUCACCCACUCAAGGAUUAUUGUCUAGAGGCAGUGUCUGGCUUGUAAACAAUGGAAGGGAAUAUUUAACUCUAAACAGAAAUCUGUUCUGACAUUAAAAGGAAAUGAGUGAGAACAUUUGUGCAGGUACUAAUUUGGUCGAAGCAGAUAACCAAGCGGAGUGGACCGACGUUCAGAAGAAGAUUAUCCCGUGGAACAGUCGUGUUCCCGACUUAGACCUGGAGCUCCUGUUUCAGGAUCGUGCUGCCAGACUUGGAAAGUCAAUUAGUAGGCUCAUCGUCGUGGCCUCGCUCAUCGACAAACCGACCAAUUUAGGAGGACCUGUGAGGUAUUUGGGGCUUCAGUGCUCGUUGUUGGCAGCCUUCAGUGUAUCAGCGACAAACAGUUUCAGCACCUCAGUGUCUCUGCAGAACAGUGGCUUCCUCUAGUGGAGGUAAAACCACCUCAGCUAAUUGACUAUCUGCAGCAGAAGAAAACAGAAGGUUAUACCAUCAUUGGAGUGGAACAAACUGCCAGAAGUUUAGACCUAACCCAAUAUUGCUUUCCUGAGAAAUCUCUACUCUUGUUGGGAAAUGAACGUGAGGGAAUUCCAGCAAAUCUGAUCCAACAGUUGGACGUUUGUGUGGAAAUUCCUCAACAGGGCAUUAUCCGCUCCCUGAACGUCCACGUGAGUGGAGCCCUGCUGAUCUGGGAGUACACCAGGCAGCAGCUGCUCUCGCACGGAGAUACCAAGCCAUGAUGUGCCUUCCUCAGUGAACUGCUGCUGCUGUUCAGACUUUUUUUAAAAAAACUAUUUGGACUAAAGAAACAGAUUCUGAAAUUUAUUGUGAUAAUUUGUAUUUCUUUUUUCUUGCAAUUUAAUGCCAAAAGUUUGCCAUGUGCCUUAAACAUAUUACUAUAUAUUUUCCCCUUUAAUAAACACUUUUUGUUAAAUUGUAUUCUUCCUUUAAUAAAAUAUUUUAAGCAAUUGUGGAAAU
rnacentral:sRNA from 1 species